GACGAACGCUGGCGGCGUGCUUAACACAUGCAAGUCGAACGGAAAGGCCCUGCUUUUGUGGGGUGCUCGAGUGGCGAACGGGUGAGUAACACGUGAGUAACCUGCCCUUGACUUUGGGAUAACUUCAGGAAACUGGGGCUAAUACCGGAUAGGAGCUCCUGCUGCGUGGUGGGGGUUGGAAAGUUUCGGCGGUUGGGGAUGGACUCGCGGCUUAUCAGCUUGUUGGUGGGGUAGUGGCUUACCAAGGCUUUGACGGGUAGCCGGCCUGAGAGGGUGACCGGCCACAUUGGGACUGAGAUACGGCCCAGACUCCUACGGGAGGCAGCAGUGGGGAAUAUUGCACAAUGGGCGGAAGCCUGAUGCAGCAACGCCGCGUGCGGGAUGACGGCCUUCGGGUUGUAAACCGCUUUCGCCUGUGACGAAGCGUGAGUGGCGGUAAUGGGUAAAGAAGCACCGGCUAACUACGUG
rnacentral:rRNA from 1 species